CCUACGUGGGGCAGCAGUGAGGAAUAUUGGUCAAUGGACGGAAGUCUGAACCAGCCAAGCCGCGUGCAGGACGACGGUUCUAAGCAUUGUAAACUUCUUUUGUACAAGGGUAAACUUGAAUACGUGUAUUCGGCCGACAGUACUGUACGAAUAAGGAUCGGCUAACUCCGUGCCAGCAGCCGCGGUAAUACGGAGGAUCCAAGCGUUAUCCGGAUUUAUUGGGUUUAAAGGGUGGGGAGGCGGAUUGAUAAGUUAGAGGUGAAAUGUCCGAGCUUAACUCGGGCACUGCCUCUAAUACUGGUGAUCUAGAGAGUAGAUGCGGUAGGCGGAAUGCGUGGUGUAGCGGUGAAAUGCUUAGAGAU
rnacentral:rRNA from 1 species